rnacentral:rRNA from 1 species
GUCUACGACCAUGCAACCCUGAACAAGCCUGAUCCCAUCUGAACUCAGAAGCUAAGCAAGUUUGGGCCUGGUUAGUACUUAGAUGGGAGACCACCUAGAAAGAUCAGGUGCUGUAGGCA